GCCUGAGAAAUGGCCACUACGUCUAAGGAUGGCAGCAGGCGCGCAAAUUACCCACUCUCGGCAUGAGGAGGUAGUGACGAAAAAUAACGGGGCCGGCCCUCUGGGUUGGCGAUCGGAAUGGGUGCAAUCUAAACUCUCGCACGAGUAUCUAUGAGAGGGCAAGUCUGGUGCCAGCAGCCGCGGUAAUUCCAGCUCUCAGAAUGCAUAGAACCAUUGCUGCGGUUAAAAAGCUCGUAGUUGGAUUUGGGCGCGUGCCUUGGACCUCGCUUCGGCGUUGCUCUGGGUGUCUCGUGCUUUAUGCUGGUUGGUUCCUUGGCUUUCGGGCCCUGGGGCGGCUGGCGAGUUUACUUUGAACAAAUCAGAGUGCUCAAGACAGGCUCAACGCCUGAAUGCUCGUGCAUGGAAUAAUAGAAGAGGAUCUCGGUCCGAUUUUGUUGGUUUUGCGGCCGAGGUAAUGAUCAAUAGGGGCGGACGGGGGCAUUCGUACUUCUGCGUGAGAGGUGAAAUUUUUGGACCGCAGGAAGACGCACGACAGCGAAGGCAAUUGCCAAGCACGUCCCCGUUAAUCAAGAACGAAAGUCAGAGGAUCGAAGGCGAUUAGAUACCGCCCUAGUUCUGACCGUAAACGAUGCCAACUAGCGAUCCGUCGGUGGUCUCACGACCCCAAUGGGGAGCUUACCGGAAACGAAAGUCUUCCGGUUCCGGGGGAAGUAUGGUUGCAAAGCUGAAACUUAAAGGAAUUGACGGAAGGGCACCACCAGGAGUGGAGCCUGCGGCUUAAUUUGACUCAACACGGGGAACCUCACCCGGGCACGACACCGUCGGGAUUGACAAACUGCAGAAUUUUCAUGAUUCGGUGAAUGGUGGUGCAUGGCCGUUCUUAGUUCGUGGAGUGAUCACAGGUUAAUUCCGGUAACGAGCGAGACUCUAGCCUACUAGUUAGGCAAGGUGUUAUAACACCAAAUGUGCACCGCACACACUUCUUAGAGGGAUCUACGGCGAACAAUAGCCGAGAGAGAUAGAGCGAUAACAGGUCUGUGACGCCCCUUGAUGCCCGGGGCUGCACGCGCGCUACACUGGCAAAGGCAGCAUGUUUGUCCUGCUUCGAGAGGAGUGGGUAAUCAGUUGAAACUUUGCCGUGACUGGGAUCGGAGAUUGCAAUUAUUUUCCGUGAACGAGGAAUUCCAAGUAAGUGCGAGUCACCAA
rnacentral:rRNA from 1 species